GUAUGAAUCAUAGUUAAGCUGUCGUCCAAUUGCUUCAGAUUCAAUUGUCUGUCACCUCUCUGACUUAUUCACUAAAGCAAAAAAGCAAAGAUAAUUUUCAGGAUUCUCUUCCAACAAUCUAUCCAUUGCUAGGUAUGGGUAUACGCCCACAUUCACCUACCUUUACAUUAGUUUCUUUGUUUGCUAAUCAUACUUUUUUACCUAAUAAAGCAACAAGCAGCUCAAAGAAGAACAAUGAAAACAUUGAACCGAGAAAAUCAUUUUGCUUGCUCCUUUGUAUUUGAUUUUAUUAUAUAAACCAAAACAAUGAAGACUACAACCUCAACAUGCUCAAGGUUGAACUUUGCAAUAUAUGUAUUAUAUUUUGUAAAUAAUUAAUCAUUUGUAUUAAUAAUCGAUGUACCUUAUUUGAUUCAUAGAAGAAGUUCAUUUUCAACGUA